UUCCUUACCCCUCAGAUCUAAAUAUUGGUCUGAGUGGCUCAAAAAUAAGGAAGAGAAAAACGGAAGUGGAUUUGGAUCUUCGGUGACAUACAAGUUUAUUUCAAACAAGC
rnacentral:snoRNA from 1 species